GAUGAACGCUGGCGGCGUGCUUAACACAUGCAAGUCGAACGAAACACCUUAUUUGAUUUUCUUCGGAACUGAAGAUUUGGUGAUUGAGUGGCGGACGGGUGAGUAACGCGUGGGUAACCUGCCCUGUACAGGGGGAUAACAGUCAGAAAUGACUGCUAAUACCGCAUAAGACCACAGCACCGCAUGGUGCAGGGGUAAAAACUCCGGUGGUACAGGAUGGACCCGCGUCUGAUUAGCGGGUUGGUGAGGUAACGGCGCACCAAGGCGACGAUCAGUAGCCGGCUUGAGAGAGAGAACGGCGACAUUGGGACUGAGACACGGCCCAAACUCCUACGGGAGGCAGCAGUGGGGAAUAUUGCACAAUGGGGGAAACCCUGAUGCAGCGACGCCGCGUGAGUGAAGAAGUAUUUCGGUAUGUAAAGCUCUAUCAGCAGGGAAGAAAAUGACGGUACCUGACUAAGAAGCCCCGGCUAACUACGUG
rnacentral:rRNA from 1 species